AAUUAAGUUCCUUCAAAACAGGAAAAGGAAAUACAUUCAAAAAUUCAAAAUGCUGAGUAACGGUCCAAAGUUCAGUAGAAGAAAUCUCAGUGGAGGGAACAUCAGCUGGCAUGGCGUCUUUUCAGUGGCCCUAAUAAAGACCUUCAAAGUGAAAAGACUGAUUCCCGUGGUGAUUCACAGUGGACCCACUACACUUGAUGUAUGUACAGCUGGACGUGGAACAUAAUGAUGCAGAGGCUGGACGAGAAGACAUUAUUAAAGGAGCGUGUGUUUACAUGGAUGAAGAUCCAGAAAACCUGGUCCAGGAAUAUGUGUGGAUGAAGAGCCCGUUAACGACGCCG